rnacentral:rRNA from 1 species
GAUAUCUCAUUACUACAUGGAUAACUGUGGUAAUUCUACAGCUAAUACACGCAUCAAAACCCUAACUUUCGAAGGGGUGCGUUUGUUACUUCAAAUCAAUCGGACUUCGGUCUGAUAUCAAGUGAGAUUGAACAAUUUAGCUGAUCGCACGGUCUAAGCACCGGCGACAUAUCCUUCAAACGUCUGCCUUAUCAACUUUCGAUGGUAGAUUAUGCGCCUACCAUGGUUGUAACGGGUAACGGAGAAUCAGGGUUUGAUUCCGGAGAGGGAGCCUGAGAAACGGCUACCACAUCCAAGGAAGGCAGCAGGCACGCAAAUUACCCACUCCCGGCACGGGGAGGUAGUGACGAAAAAUAACAAGCUGGUCUCUAUGAGUUCCGGCAUUGUAAUGGGAACAACUUAAAUCAUUUAUCGAGGAUCUAUUGGAGGGCAAGUCUGGUGCCAGCAGCCGCGGUAAUUCCAGCUCCAAUAGCGUAUAUUAAAGUUGUUGCGGUUAAAAAGCUCGUAGUUGGAUCUACGACCAAGUCUUGUGGUCACUCAGCUUGGGUGUACUGC